rnacentral:rRNA from 1 species
UACGGAGGUGGCAAGCGUUGCUCGGAAUCACUGGGCGUAAAGGGCGCGUAGGCGGGGAGGUAAGUCGGGUGUGAAAUCCCUCGGCCCAACCGAGGAACUGCGCCCGAGACUGCUUCUCUUGAGUCCCGGAGAGGAAGAUGGAAUUCCCGGUGUAGCGGUGAAAUGUGUAGAGAUCGGGAGGAACACCGGUGGCGAAGGCGGUCUUCUGGACAGUUCCUGACGCUGAGGCACGAAGGCCAGGGGAGCAAACGGG